rnacentral:rRNA from 1 species
GAUGAACGCUGGCGGCGUGCCUAAUACAUGCAAGUCGAGCGAACAGAUGAGGAGCUUGCUUCUCUGAUGUUAGCGGCGGACGGGUGAGUAACACGUGGAUAACCUACCUAUAAGACUGGGAUAACUUCGGGAAACCGGAGCUAAUACCGGAUAAUAUAUUGAACCGCAUGGUUCAAUAGUGAAAGACGGUUUUGCUGUCACUUAUAGAUGGAUCCGCGCCGCAUUAGCUAGUUGGUAAGGUAACGGCUUACCAAGGCAACGAUGCAUAGCCGACCUGAGAGGGUGAUCGGCCACACUGGAACUGAGACACGGUCCAGACUCCUACGGGAGGCAGCAGUAGGGAAUCUUCCGCAAUGGGCGAAAGCCUGACGGAGCAACGCCGCGUGAGUGAUGAAGGUCUUCGGAUCGUAAAACUCUGUUAUUAGGGAAGAACAAAUGUGUAAGUAACUAUGCACGUCUUGACGGUACCUAAUCAGAAAGCCACGGCUAACUACGUG